rnacentral:ncRNA from 1 species
UCAUAUGCUAUUUUAGGAUUCGCGUUUAGUGAGGCUACUGGGUUGAGCAGCAAAUAGCUCAGUAUAAAGGGGGUAAAUUGCAAAGAGUACAUAGUGUUGUUUAACUAACAUGUUAAUUUGCAGCUAAGUUUAAUAUAAUACAUAAAAUAUAUAUAUUAAAAAUGUUCAACGACUAGUAGAUGAGUAAAGUAUUAACAAUAAUUCUACCAUGUGCGCCUCCAUAUUUUACAAUAUAAAAUAUAAGACAUAGUCUAGACAAGGGAGAGAUCUCUUG